UACAGAGGGUGCGAGCGUUAAUCGGAUUUACUGGGCGUAAAGGGCGCGUAGGCGGUUGUAUGAGUGUGAUGUGAAAGCCCCGGGCUUAACCUGGGAAGUGCAUCGCAAACGAUAUAACUGGAGUAGAUGAGAGGGUGGCGGAAUUUCCGGUGUAGCGGUGAAAUGCGUAGAGAUCGGAAGGAACGUCGAUGGCGAAGGCAGCCACCUGGCGUCAUACUGACGCUGAGGCGCGAAAGCGUGGGUAGCGAACAGG
rnacentral:rRNA from 1 species